AGUCCCUUAGCUCAGAGGCAGAGCGCCCACCCCAAAUGACCAUUUCGUAGCUCGUGCAGACUGGUGGGAGGCCGUUGGUUCGAAUCCAACAGGGACUA